UGUAGCAAGGUUAACCGAAUAGGGGAGCCGGAGGGAAACCGAGUCUUAAUUGGGCGUUAAGUUGCAGGGUAUAGACCCGAAACCCGGUGAUCUAGCCAUGGGCAGGUUGAAGGUUGGGUAACACUAACUGGAGGACCGAACCGACUAAUGUUGAAAAAUUAGCGGAUGACCUGUGGCUGGGGGUGAAAGGCCAAUCAAACCGGGAGAUAGCUGGUUCUCCCCGAAAGCUAUUUAGGUAGCGCCUCGUGAAUUCAUCUCCGGGGGUAGAGCACUGUUUCGGCUAGGGGGCCAUCCCGGCUUACCAACCCGAUGCAAACUGCGAAUACCGGAGAAUGUUAUCACGGGAGACACACGGCGGGUGCUAACGUCCGUCGUGAAGAGGGAAACAACCCAGACCGCCAGCUAAGGUCCCAAAGUCAUGGUUAAGUGGGAAACGAUGUGGGAAGGCCCAGACAGCCAGGAUGUUGGCUUAGAAGCAGCCAUCAUUUAAAGAAAGCGUAAUAGCUCACUGGUCGAGUCGGCCUGCGCGGAAGAUGUAACGGGGCUAAACCAUG
rnacentral:rRNA from 1 species